AACGAACGCUGGCGGCAUGCCUAACACAUGCAAGUCGAACGAGAUCUUCGGGUCUAGUGGCGCACGGGUGCGUAACGCGUGGGAAUCUGCCCUUUGGUUCGGAAUAACAGUUGGAAACGACUACUAAUACCGGAUGAUGACGAAAGUCCAAAGAUUUAUCGCCAGAGGAUGAGCCCGCGUAGUAUUAGCUAGUUGGUGUGGUAAAGGCGCACCAAGGCGACGAUCCUUAGCUGGUCUGAGAGGAUGAUCAGCCACACUGGGACUGAGACACGGCCAAGACUCUUACGGGAGGGAGCAGUGGGGAAUAUUGGACAAUGGGCGAAAGUCUGAUCCCGCAAUGCCGCGUGAGUGAUGAAGGCCUUAGGGUUGUAAAGCUCUUUUACCCGGGAUGAUAAUGACAGUACCGGGGGAAUAAGCUCCGGCUAACUCCGUGCCAGCAGCCGCAGUAA
rnacentral:rRNA from 1 species